ensembl:piRNA 21ur-10269 ncRNA
UUCUUCUAGAGUCCAACAAUU